GCAGGAAGCUCAGCAAGGAUGGCCAGGGCAGCCGCCACCAGUCUACUUCCCUCCUCCAACAGGGUCUUCGGCUUUGAAGCCUUUCCACCUGGGCUACCUGCCAGCUUAGGGUUCAGUUCUGGGAGCUGUCUAACGAGGAUGCAGACACAGAGUUCCAGGGCUGCAAAGACCAAAGACUUCCCAGCCUUAAAAUAGUGCCCGAUCAAACUCAUCUCUGUGCUGUUAUAAGUGAGAAUCUGACAGCAGCAGCUCCAACAGCGACUCUGUCAUCUUACAGACUGGCAGCGGCUGGGCACAAGGAUCAGACUAGACUCUGCCCACCGGCCCCCACAUACUGCCCGCCUCUGCCCGUUUGCUCUUUAGGUCUGUAUUGCCGUCUGCCCUAGUUUCAGCAGUAUCCAGAUUGUGUGGUUACCCCGAGUAACACUUGUGAAGACAAUGACACUGCGCUGCGUUGUGUGGCUGCGGCUGCGCCUAGGGGAACAGCGCUUGCCCACUGCAUACAGAGUGUAUGACUCUCAGAACUGGGAUGAGAAGGGAUGCUAUGUCACUGAGUUAAUAUUUACCUUCUGCACUACGUCUUUUUUCCUUCACAUGUUCUUGGGCGGCACAGAUAAUCUGCCUGACCACUUCAAGUGAAGCCAGUUGAAUGGCUGGUGACUCUCUGGUCAAAAUUACUCGGUGUAGUACAUUUAGCAAUUCAAUACCCAAGUCCUGUCAGAAAACAUGAAGUGGACACUAUUGGAAAUUACAUUUGUUUAUGUCAGUUCAUGUGUGUGUGUGUGUAAAAAUAACAAGGUUAAAUGUAAUGAUAAAAGCUCAAAAAGACAGAAUUUAAUAAAUUCUCUUUUUAAAAACAAGUAUAUUGCCAGAACAAUAAAGGAAUAUAUCAGUACUUCUCUGCUUUGAAGCAGUCUUGUCUGCCUGGCCUAAACUUGCCAAGGAUGACCUCAAACUCCUGAUCCUCCGGCCUGUUCCUACAGCGCUGGGAUUUCAGGUGUAUCACCAUGCCUGGCUUAUAACACUGUAAUAAAUAUCAGAACACUUCUCAGCUCAUUUCGGUGAGAAAUGGUACUAUGACAAAUGAUCAUUUUCAUUCAUGUCUGAGAUGAUACUGGAGACACAGCCAAAGGCUGACGUGUAGAUUCUAAGAUUAAUAUUAAAAUUUUCUUGU
ensembl:lincRNA Gm26517 predicted gene, 26517